CCUACGGGCGGCAGCAGUGAGGAAUCUUGGUCAAUGGGCUUACGCCUGAACCAGCCAAGUCGCGUGAGGGAAGACUGCCCUAUGGGUUGUAAACCCCUUUUGUCAGGGAGCAAUUGCCGCUACGUGUAUCGUCACCGUGAGUACCUGAAUAAAAAGCAUCGGCUAACUCCGUGCCAGCAGCCGCGGUAAUACGGAGGAUGCGAGCGUUAUCGGGAUUUAUUGGGUUUAAAGGGUGCGUAGGCGGAAUGCCAAGUCAGCGGUAAAAUCGCGGGGCUAAACCUCGCUGCGCCGUUGAAACUGGCGUACUUGAGUGGACGAGAGGAAUGCGGAAUGCGAGGUGUAGCGGUGAAAUGCAUAGAUAUCACGAAGAACUCCAGUGGCGAAGGCAGCAUACCGGCGCCCAACUGACGCUGAAGUACGAAAGCGUGGGUAGCGAACAGGAUUAGAUACCCGGGUAGUC
rnacentral:rRNA from 1 species